rnacentral:rRNA from 1 species
GACGAACGCUGGCGGCGUGCCUAACACAUGCAAGUCGAACGAGAAUCACUUGAACAGAGGCUUCGGCCGACGGGAAGGUGAGGAAAGUGGCGAACGGGUGAGUAACGCGUGAGGAACCUGCCUUUCAGAGGGGGACAACAGUUGGAAACGACUGCUAAUACCGCAUAAUGUGUUUGAGGGGCAUCCCUCGGACACCAAAGGAGCAAUCCGCUGUAAGAUGGACUCGCGUCCGAUUAGAUAGUUGGUGAGGUAACGGCUCACCAAGUCUGCGAUCGGUAGCCGGACUGAGAGGUCGAUCGGCCACAUUGGGACUGAGACACGGCCCAGACUCCUACGGGAGGCAGCAGUGGGGGAUAUUGGCACAAUGGAGGAAACUCUGAUGCAGCAACGCCGCGUGAGGGAAGAAGGUCUUCGGAUUGUAAACCUCUGUUUUUAGUGAAGAAUAAAUGACGGUAGCUAAAGAGGAAGCCACGGCUAACUACGUAG